rnacentral:rRNA from 1 species
AUUGAACGCUGGCGGCAUGCCUUACACAUGCAAGUCGAACGGCAGCACGGGAGCUUGCUCCUGGUGGCGAGUGGCGAACGGGUGAGUAAUACAUCGGAACGUACCCUGAAGUGGGGGAUAACGUAGCGAAAGUUACGCUAAUACCGCAUAUUCUGUGAGCAGGAAAGAGGGGGAUCGCAAGACCUCUUGCUUUAGGAGCGGCCGAUGUCGGAUUAGCUAGUUGGUGAGGUAAAGGCUCACCAAGGCGACGAUCCGUAGCUGGUCUGAGAGGACGACCAGCCACACUGGAACUGAGACACGGUCCAGACUCCUACGGGAGGCAGCAGUGGGGAAUUUUGGACAAUGGGGGCAACCCUGAUCCAGCCAUUCCGCGUGAGUGAAGAAGGCCUUCGG